rnacentral:rRNA from 1 species
GACGAACGCUGGCGGCGUGCCUAAUACAUGCAAGUAGAACGCACAGUUUAUACCGUAGCUUGCUACACCAUAGACGGUGAGUUGCGAACGGGUGAGUAACGCGUAGGUAACCUGCCUGGUAGCGGGGGAUAACUACUGGAAACGAUAGCUAAUACCGCAUAAUAUUAAUUAUUGCAUGAUAAUUAAUUGAAAGGUGCAAUUGCACCACUACCAGAUGGACCUGCGUUGUAUUAGCUAGUAGGUGAGGUAACGGCUCACCUAGGCGACGAUACAUAGCCGACCUGAGAGGGUGAUCGGCCACACUGGGACUGAGACACGGCCCAGACUCCUACGGGAGGCAGCAGUAGGGAAACUUCGGCAAUGGACGAAAGUCUGACCGAGCAACGCCGCGUGGGGGAAGAAGGGUUUCGGGUCGUAAAGCUCUGUUGUAAGGGAAGAACGGGUGUGAGAGUGGAAAGUUCACACUGUGACGGUAUCUUACCAGAAAGGGACGGCUAACUACGUG